rnacentral:lncRNA from 1 species
AGAUUUCCAAGGCGAUGUCUUGAGCUAGGGAUCCAUGGGGUUCUGUCUUCGACCGUGUAGUUCAGGCAGGAGUCGGAGGAGAGAAGUUGAGCUCCAGUCCUUCUAUUCCUCCAUCUUAAUCCAAGAUCGCAGGAAGUUGUUGCUGAACAAGGAUGAGACCCAGAUGUCCCAGCUCCAAUCCUGGCAAAGGAGGACCCAGGGCAGCGUCCGCUGUCCUUAGGUAACUGUAAAACACACCAGGGCACUUCCUUCGUGCUUCGCUGUUUCACUUGCACACAGGGUGUCGCGUGGAGAGGCCUCACACACAACGUGAAAUGGCCGGCCCACCACCUCAGCUCCACAGAAGCGCUGCGCACGCACCUCCACGUUGUUUUCUGAUUCAUGCAGCCAGACUUCUUUUGAGGGGAUAGAACCAGCUUCUGGGAUUUCGAGGGGCUCCUCAUGGUGGGUAGUAAAGAGGAGAAUGAUAGAAGCUGGGACAAGCCAGAAGGCGCUUCAGAAGACAGGCUAGUUGGGGAGGGGAGAGGAAGCAAAGGUAACUAGUCUAAGGCCCGGGUGGCUGCGGUGGGAGGGGGCUGCAAGGAGAGGAUGCACAUUAUUUUGGGGGCAGCCUUGGUAUGAGUUGUGUGAUGUAGCUUCCCUUUGGAGAUGUCCCAAAGAGGCCUUCUCUGAUGGGCCUACAUUUCUUUCCAAAGCUGUAAGGAAUUGGGUCUGGGUUUCCUUUUGAUGUAGCCUUGUGCUGAGAUGAGCCUAGAGAAUCCCAGUGUUAUUUAGCUUCCAGAAAACAGUCUGAAGGGAACCCUAGGACUGGAGAUGACUGGGUUACAGAGCGUCGCCUGGGUGGUUCUGCAGCCUCAGAGUCACAGAACUUCCAAUCCGGAAGGGUCUUGGGCAGCCAUCCACCUACACCCCCCAGUUGUGGAUGGAGGCAGUAUCUGCCUGGAUUGGGACUCCCUCUCGUUGCCCAUUUUCUCCCGAGGACCAGGUGGAUGAAUGGCAGGACUUCCCACCUCAGCUUCUACUAGGAACCUGUCUCAUCUCAGCCUAACAAUGAGCCAGCAAUCAACAGUCAAUCUUAUCUAUAACUGCCAUUCCCAAAUGGGAAUUCAGCUUUGUGAAGUUGACAAAUAAUGACUUUUGGAGGUCCCUUUGUGGCUUAGCAGGUUACGAAUCUGACUAGUAUCCGUGAAGAAGCCAUGCAGACAUGGCUCAGAUCUGGU